UAGGCAGAAGCCAAAUUUGGGCGCCUAGCUGUUAAUUAGGAAGUUGUAGCUAAAAUGUACUACCUGUCUAG
rnacentral:tRNA from 1 species